AUGUGUUGUGCCCCUCAGACAGCUGGAGAGAAGAAGCGAUCCGGCCACAGUGACAGCAAUGGCUUCGCUGGCCACAUCAAUCUCCCUGACUUGGUGCAGCAGAGCCAUUCCCCAGCUGGAACCCCAACUGAGGGCCUGGGGCGUGUCUCCACCCAUCCCCAGGAGAUGGACUCCGGGACUGAAUAUGGCAUGGGAAGCAGCACCAAAGCCUCCUUCACUCCAUUUGUGGACCCCAGAGUAUACCAGACAUCUCCCACUGAUGAAGAUGAGGAGGAUGAAGAAUCAUCAGCUGCAGCUCUGUUUACUAGUGAACUUCUUAGGCAAGAACAGGCCAAACUCAAUGAAGCAAGAAAGAUUUCUGUGGUAAACGUAAACCCAACCAACAUUCGGCCUCAUAGCGACACACCAGAAAUCAGAAAAUACAAGAAACGAUUCAACUCAGAAAUACUUUGUGCAGCUCUGUGGGGUAUGUUUGUACUUUUUCUCCAUUUGUUAAUGAAGUGACCCUGAAACAUUACAAUCCUGUGGAUCUUACCAUCAGAAAACACUAGGUGAUUCAUAGGUGUUAGGGACCUAGCUUAGGACUAUCAUGACCUCAAAAGACCAAAAGCAGUUUUAUAUGUAGGAUGAGCUGAUUCUAUACUAGCAAGGGUAAUAUCUACAAACCUGUCACCACUUAAUACUCACUAUGUAUCCACCACUCUGUGAUGUGUCCCCACGUUCUUUCUCUGUGAUCCAUACAAUGUCUUGCAAGGGGAAUAGUGGCAUUACUUUCAUGUCAUAGUUAAAAACUAUCCCAGUCCAUUUUAGUGAAUUCUCUAUGCCACGCUGCCAGAUAAAACUAAAAAAACCAAAAAUUAUGAGCCU
rnacentral:lncRNA from 1 species